GUGUUCAGUUUGGCAGCACAUACACUAACAUCGGAACGAUGCAGAGAAGAUUAGCAUGGUCCCCUGCCCAAGGAGGGACAGGACUUCAGGCAUUUGAACAUUCCUU